CUCAGAUCCAUAUACGUCAAACAGUCAUUUAAGUAUCUAUUUAGUGUAAGACAUAACUUUGCCUCUUGUUGUACUUCUUGUGUAUUUUGAAAUAAGAUGUAUUUUAUGUUUGAAAUGAGGAUUAUAACUAGGAAAUAAGUUAUUGAACAUAUUGAAUAUAUUGAAAGUUGAUCAAGAUGUGUUAAAGUUUAUCUAAAGCAAGUUUAUAUUAAUCACCUAACAUCAUGAGUAGCAAAAUUAUGUGAUUAGUUAUUAUCAUAAUAAAAUAUUAUUAUAUUAUGCAUAUAUUUUUUGAUUUACUAUUUUUCUAGGUAGAGGCAGACACAGAUAAAAAUUUAGAAUAUUUGUUUGGCUCUUCCAGUCU
rnacentral:lncRNA from 1 species